UGCAAGUCGAGCGAGAAAGGGGUAGCAAUACCCUGAGUAAAGCGGCGCACGGGUGAGUAACACGUGGGUAAUCUGCCCUAGAGUGGGGAAUAACACCGGGAAACCGGUGCUAAUACCGCAUACGAUCACGAGGUCUUCGGAUCAUGUGAUGAAAGGAAGCAAUUUCGCUCUUGGAGGAGCCCGCGGCUGAUUAGCUAGUUGGUAAGGUAACGGCUUACCAAGGCAACGAUCAGUAUCCGGUCUGAGAGGACGGUCGGACACACUGGAACUGAGACACGGUCCAGACUCCUACGGGAGGCAGCAGUGGGGAAUUUUUGGCAAUGGGGGAAACCCUGACCAAGCAACGCCGCGUGGGUGAUGAAGUAUCUCGGUACGUAAAACCCUUUCGACGGGGACGAAAGCCGCAAGGCCUGACGGUACCCGUAGAAGAAGCCCCGGCUAACUCCGUGCCAGCAGCCGCGGUAAUACGGGGGGGGCAAGCGUUGUUCGGAAUUACUGGGCGUAAAGGGCGCGUAGGCGGUCUGCUAAGUUGGAUGUGAAAACUCUGGGCUUAACCCAGAGCCUGCAUUCAAUACUGACAGGCUAGAGUUCUGGAGGGGAUAGCGGAAUUCCUGGUGUAGCGGUGAAAUGCGUAGAUAUCAGGAGGAACACCGGUGGCGAAGGCGGCUAUCUGGACAGAGUCUGACGCUGAGGCGCGAAAGCUAGGGGAGCAAACAGGAUUAGAUACCCUGGUAGUCCUAGCCCUAAACGAUGGAUACUUGCUGUGACUGGGAUUGAAUCCAGUCGUGGCGAAGCUAACGCAUUAAGUAUCCCGCCUGGGGAGUACGGUCGCAAGGCUG
rnacentral:rRNA from 1 species